UACGAAGGGGGCUAGCGUUGCUCGGAAUCACUGGGCGUAAAGGGUGCGUAGGCGGUUUUGUAAGUCUUGUGUGAAAUCUUCAGGCUCAACUUGAAGACUGCACGAGAAACUGCAGGGCUUGAGUGUGGGAGAGGUGAGUGGAAUUCCUAGUGUAGCGGUGAAAUGCGUAGAUAUCAGGAGGAACACCUGUGGCGAAAGCGGCUCACUGGACCACAACUGACGCUGAUGCACGAAAGCUAGGGGAGCAAACAGG
rnacentral:rRNA from 1 species